rnacentral:rRNA from 1 species
UGGGGAAUAUUGCACAAUGGGCGCAAGCCUGAUGCAGCCAUGCCGCGUGUAUGAAGAAGGCCUUCGGGUUGUAAAGUACUUUCAGCGAGGAGGAAGGCGUUGUGGUUAAUAACCGCAACGAUUGACGUUACUCGCAGAAGAAGCACCGGCUAACUCCGUGCCAGCAGCCGCGGUAAUACGGAGGGUGCAAGCGUUAAUCGGAAUUACUGGGCGUAAAGCGCACGCAGGCGGUCGGUCAAGUCGGAUGUGACAUCCCCGGGCGCAACCUGGGAACUGCAUCCGAAGCUGGCAGGCUAGAGUCUUGUAGAGGGGGGUAGAAUUCCAGGUGUAGCGGUGAAAUGCGUAGAGAUCUGGAGGAAUACCGGUGGCGAAGGCGGCCCCCUGGACAAAGACUGACGCUCAGGUGCGAAAGCGUGGGGAGCAAACA